CUGGAAUCGCUAGUAAUCGCGGAUCAGAAUGCCGCGGUGAAUACGUUCCCGGGUCUUGUACACACCGCCCGUCACACCAUGGGAGUCGGAAAUGCCCGAAGUCUGUGACCGAACCGAGAGGGGAGGAGCAGCCGAAGGCAGGUCGGAUGACUGGGGGUGAAGUCGUAACAAGGUAUC
rnacentral:rRNA from 1 species